AUUAAAGUAGAAUGGAACAAAUUUGGACAACCUAUAAAGAAAGGCGGGGGGAUUUUAGGUGGUUGGUUAGGAACAGUUGCACGUCGUGGGAAUAUGUGUCCUAUCCACUAUAUAAGUUGGAAGGUUAUGCCCUUAGUGCCUUUUAAAGUGGAUAUCAUCAAAAUGACUCGGAGUAAGUUUAUCUUCCUUGCGAUAAUAAGGUUGAAGCAUGGGUGUUGAAAUCAGUUAGUAGAAAAUGGAAAGACUACAAACAUGAGCUUAAGAUAAAACAUAAGAAGGCUAAUAGAACACAAGCAGAGAUUACUAGUGAUGUUCCUCCAGAAAUUGUGCCACAACAAUGGAUAGAUCUUGUCAGCAAUUGGUUUUCGGAGAGAAGUGAGAAUCUCUCACGGAUUGGGAAAGCAUCUCGUGCAAAUCAUACAACUCCUCACACAAUUGGUUCCAAGAGUUUUGCAAGAAAGAGACAAG